AAGCCAAAGGAAGGAAACCUCACAGAUAAAAGCAUUCUGGUAAUGGGUAUAGGCGGAAAGCCAUCUGAGUGUUCUGUAUUGCAGGAGGCUGCUGUAGAAAUCUCUGGUGUCUCAGCCUCCCAUGCAUUUUUGUUAGCUCCUGACAGCCCAGUUAAUCUUCUAGGCAGAGACUUGCUGUGUAAAUUACGCGCUCAGAUUUUCUUUUCAGCUGAUAUAAUCAUUCUUUGGUUGCCUCAGAAUCAACUCCCCCAGCUAUGUGCCGCCUUAACCCAGGCUACCGAGGACCCGAUCCUGCCUGCGAGCCCGAUGAACCUGCCUGAACGACUCAGACGAGAGGUACACGCCUCCCUCUGGGGCACUUCCAAAACAAACCUUGGCACUCUCCGGACAGAGCCUGUGCGAAUAACCCUGAAGCCAGACAUUGACAUUCCCCAAGAAGCUCUGCUGGGCCUCUGGAAUCUUAUCAACACAUUCCUACGGUUGGGGGUGCUUAUUCGUACUUCAUCCCCUUUCAACACCCCCAUUCUGCCUGUUAGAAAACCUGACCUGGAUCCAGAAGGAAAACCGGCAUACCGAUUUGUGCAGGACUUGCGUGCAGUGAAUAAAGUUGUUCAGGCUAGACACAAUGUGGUACCUAAUCCUCACGCAAUUCUGACUGACAUUCCAGCAGGUACUGCUUGUUAUUCAGUAAUAGAUCUGUGUAAUGCCUUUUUAGUAUUCCUCUAGAUCAAGACAGCUGGGAUAUCUUCGCAUUUACAUAGACGGACCCAGAGACCGGGAGAGCAAAACAACUGACCUGGACUCGGCUACCACAGGGAUAUGUUCGAGUGCGAGAGCGUAACACUUGGAUUCAUUACACCCGAGUCAAGCUAGCCCCUAGGCCGGGGCCAGAAGCAGACGACUCCGGACCUCGAGGGAGCCCCGCCAGCUCUUCCCACCGCGACCCGGAAGAGCCUGAAGCAGAAGAUACCUGGAAGGCUGAGCCUCUCGAGGGACUAAAGCUCCUGUUCCGACGGAAUAAGCCCUAAGACUUUUACUGACUAUGAAUUUCUGGGUGGUGGGAUAAUGGUUCCUUGCUUUUAGUUUGCCCUUUGUACAUGCCAACCCCCACCCAGCGGUUGAAACCUCACUGGCCACAUUGGGACACCUAUCUGAUUGCUGGCUGUGCCACCAAACUCGUUCUGAAGAAGGAAUAGGAUUGUGGGCUGUUCCUGCGAAUCUUUCCGAGUCAUUUAUGGAAAGGCACAUGGUGUCAGUGGCAUACCUACGCACUGUAAGCUACUGCAGGUGCGGGUGACGUGCAGAGCAGGAUUUUAUAAAUAUAGAACGAACAAAUCCAAGUGAUAAACAAAAUAAUGAAAAAACAUUUAAGUGGUGCUCAAAAACGGAGGCAUAAAGCAGAAGCUGAAGAAUGCAAAAAUGCGUCAUAUAAGCAGAUACUUCACUAAUAAUCGUACAGCAUAGAGACUCCCGCUGAUGCUAAUACUACUAGUAAUGAUGGUGAGUGUGUAAUAAACUAGUAUAGUGGUGAGUCGAGACGACAUUGAUCAUGGCUCUCAAGAACAGGCUCUUUCUUCUGAUGAAAUCAUUUCACCGAAUAAAGAACAGCUGCUACAAAACAUAUCAGUAGAAUUACCCUCCUCUGAUGCUGCCCUCUGGACUGUUGAUGCUUUCACCCAACAGUACUGCAUAGACCUGGGCCCUGGUUUCUGCCAAAACCGGUGUUGGUAAUAGAAAAUACGCAAUGUCAUCAAGACAACACAAGGGCAGAACAAGGUUCAACUUAUUGCUGGGGCCUGUUGCGAGAUUCUCUGAAAGAGGAGACAUCUUGAGGCCAGUAAGAGAGAACUUCUCCCGAAGUGCCUCAGUGACACAAGGUGGUCAGCUCGAGGGGAGGCACUUCACAGUUUAUCAUGCAAUUACCAACCCUGUAAAUCCGUGCUUCAGGCUUUUGAUGCACACACUGUGCAGAACAGCAAAAAACGAGCAGAAGCAAACUCAUUAGUUGAAACCAUGGAUCAGUUGGUGACUGCAUUUGUGUCCGCAGUCUGGAGUAGUAUUCUUACAAGAGUAAACAAAACAAGUCAACUUCUGCGGUCUGAAACAAUGGACUUAGGCACAGCUGUGACGCUGCUGAAGUCGCUCUGAGUCUGUGGCAGCACAAUGGAAUAGUUUUGAGGAAUCUGCGAUGCCUUGGAAAAGAUCCCUGUAUGCUGCCACUCUGUAGCCUCCAGCACGUGGCUCUAAAGUGACGCUUCUUGUUGUUCUAAGGAACGGUGAAGCACUACCAAUACUAAUAGUACACAAAUUACUCUA